CUAAGUCGGAUUAGCUAGUUGGUGGGUAAAGGCCUACCAAGGCGACGAUCUGUAGCGGGUUUGAGAGGAUGAUCCGCCACACUGGGACUGAGACACGGCCCAGAUUCUUACGGGAGGCAGCAGUGGGGAAUAUUGGACAAUGGGGGGAACCCUGAUCCAGCCAUGCCGCGUGUGUGAAGAAGGCCUUAUGGUUGUAAAGCACUUUAAGCGAGGAGGAGGCUACUUUAGUUAAUACCUAGAGAUAGUGGACGUUACUCGCAGAAUAAGCACCGGCUAACUCUGUGCCAGCAGCCGCGGUAAUACAGAGGGUGCGAGCGUUAAUCGGAUUUACUGGGCGUAAAGCGUGCGUAGGCGGCUUAUUAAGUCGGAUGUGAAAUCCCCGAGCUUAACUUGGGAAUUGCAUUCGAUACUGGUGAGCUAGAGUAUGGGAGAGGAUGGUAGAAUUCCAGGUGUAGCGGUGAAAUGCGUAGAGAUCUGGAGGAAUACCGAUGGCGAAGGCAGCCAUCUGGCCUAAUACUGACGCUGAGGUACGAAAGCAUGGGGAGCAAACAGGAUUAGAUACCCUGGUAGUCCAUGCCGUAAACGAUGUCUACUAGCCGUUGGGGCCUUUGAGGCUUUAGUGGCGCAGCUAACGCGAUAAGUAGACCGCCUGGGGAGUACGGUCGCAAGACUAAAACUCAAAUGAAUUGACGGGGGCCCGCACAAGCGGUGGAGCAUGUGGUUUAAUUCGAUGCAACGCGAAGAACCUUACCUGGCCUUGACAUACUAGAAACUUUCCAGAGAUGGAUUGGUGCCUUCGGGAAUCUAGAUACAGGUGCUGCAUGGCUGUCGUCAGCUCGUGUCGUGAGAUGUUGGGUUAAGUCCCGCAACGAGCGCAACCCUUUUCCUUACUUGCCAGCAUUUCGGAUGGGAACUUUAAGGAUACUGCCAGUGACAAACUGGAGGAAGGCGGGGACGACGUCAAGUCAUCAUGGCCCUUACGGCCAGGGCUACACACGUGCUACAAUGGUCGGUACAAAGGGUUGCUACACAGCGAUGUGAUGCUAAUCUCAAAAAGCCGAUCGUAGUCCGGAUUGGAGUCUGCAACUCGAC
rnacentral:rRNA from 1 species